rnacentral:rRNA from 1 species
AUGGCGCAGCGCUGGCGCUCGAAGGCGCGGCGCGACCCGGACCUGGACGACGCUGGCUCGCCCUCUCCCGCACGGCGCCGCGCGCCCCCCAGCGACGACGAGGACGAGGCGGGCAACGAGGACCUCACCCUCGAGAUCGUCGCGCGGGCGCGGCGGCGCGAGGCCGCGGGGGGCCAGCCCGGGUUCGCCGAGGUGCUCUCCCUCUCCUCCGACGAGGAGGUCGAUGAGGACGCCGUUGUGGAGCUCGGCGAGGCCGACCCCAGCAGGAGGAAGGACAAGAAGAAGAAGAAGCAGCGCCGCAAGGAUAGGAGGAAGAAGCAGCGCAAGGAGGACGCCGCCGCCACCGCCGACAAGGAGGAGCCUCAGGUUGCUGGCACCCAGGAGGGACAAACUGGGACAGCAGAAUCGGUGCUCACCCAAGAUGGCAUUGAUGUCCCUGUAUCCGACAACACAGUUCUGCGGAAGCUUCUUCGUAUACCGAGAUACUUUGAUCCUGGGGAAACUAUAUUGGAGACUUGCUUUAACUGUGGUGAGGAAGGUCAUGUAGCUGUAAACUGCCCAAUGGAGAGGCGGAAGAAGCCUUGCUUCGUUUGUGGAUUGUUUGGACACAACGCGAAACAGUGCACGCAGGGUCAAGAGUGUUUCAUCUGCAAAAAAGGAGGUCAUAUGGCGAAAGAUUGCCCUGACAAGCACACAAAGAAUACUCAGCAAUACACCACAUUGUGUUUGAGAUGCGGAGAAACAGGCCACGAUAUGUUUGGUUGUUCCAAUGAUUAUCCACUGGAUGAUGUCAAGGAAAUAAAAUGCUAUGUGUGCAACCAGAAUGGUCACCUGUGUUGUACUGACUUCUCUGAUAGUUGUUCAAAAGAAGUUACUUGUUAUAACUGUGCUCAAUCUGGUCAUACUGGUUUGGGAUGUGCCAAGCAACGUAGGGAAACGAGUGUUUCGACAACUCCAACCUUAUGCUACAAAUGUGGCGAAGAUGGUCAUUUCGCACGUGGCUGCACAAAUAGUGCUAAGCCCGGCCGGUUCAAAGGCGAGUUGUCGUCGCAUAGUCGUAGAAAGGACAAAUGGAAAAAUGACUCUGGCCCUAGAUCAGCUCCUCAUGGUUCUCACAAAAGAAAAAGCCCCCUAUUUGAGGAUAGAUGGGAGACACCCGGUGGUAAAUCCAGAGCUAGGGGUGGUUGGAUUCCUGAGGACCAUGAUGAUCUGCCAUCCAAGAAGUACAAAGGCAAUGGGUGGGACUCGCAAUCUACUCCUAAGAAGCCCUACAACAAUCACCACCAUCGCUCCUCUGGCGGUGACUAUUCAUCUCCUCAAGGGCAGGAUUUUUCAUGGCACAACUCGCAAUAUUCACCAAGUGCGAGGAAACAUGGCUCUUCUUCGUCAAGAUUCGCCAGCAACACCCAUCACCGCUUUGAAAGAAGUUAG